CACGUAGGGCGCGAGCGUUGUCCGGAAUUAUUGGGCGUAAAGAGCUCGUAGGCGGCCUGUUGCGUCCGCUGUGAAAGCCCGGGGCUUAACCUCGGAACUGCGCCUGAAACUACUUGGCUAGAGUACUGGAGGGGGUAACGGAAUUCACGGUGUAGCAGUGAAAUGCGUAGAUAUCGUGAGGAACACCAGAGGCGAAGGCGGUUACCUGGACAGUUACUGACGCUCAGGCACGAAAGCGUGGGGAGCAAAAGGG
rnacentral:rRNA from 1 species